rnacentral:rRNA from 1 species
UACGGAGGGUGCAAGCGUUAAUCGGAAUUACUGGGCGUAAAGCGCGUGUAGGCGGCUCGAUAAGUCCGGUGUGAAACCUUGGGGCUCAACCCCAAGCCUGCACUGGAUACUGCCGAGCUAGAGUCCGGGAGGGGAGAGCGGAAUUCCUAGUGUAGCGGUGAAAUGCGCAGAUAUUAGGAAGAACACCGGUGGCGAAGGCGGCUCUCUGGAACGGUACUGACGCUGAGACGCGAAAGCGUGGGGAGCGAACAGG